AUUUUCCUGCUCUGCAGGGAAGUGUCUGGCAGAUGCCACAGAAAAACAUUCAGUGAUAAGUCUCCCUCUUUUCUCUGCCCUGCUGGAUGAGUGCAAAUGUCAUGGCCAUCUGAAGCAGAAAAGGGCUAAAAUGUUGUACUGUCCCAAAGGUGGGAGGCAGCAUCCUUUCUCAGUCUUUACAUGAUGAUCCUGACGAGGUGGUUUCUUAGGAGAGGAAUGCCAAUGUACACCAGGAAGUCUGGUAGAAGGAGGUAUCCGCUUUGUUGAAGAUAAUCUGCAUCUUCCAGGGCUGGGGAAAAUCUCUGCUGGAGAAGAAAAGGUCAUUGGAAGAAAAUAGAGCAGGGAUGUGGAAUACAUAUGAGUUCCCUGCAGGUGAGUAAAGUUUGGGUGGUAACCAAACUGCUCACUGCUGACCCAGUUAGGAAAAAGGGUUUGAAGUCCCACCUUUGCCUCCUCAGUUAAUCGACUUCCACUGAGGCUGGUUUUCUUUGGAACCACUUGGAAGUACAGGGAGGCUCCUGGCUGCCUUACUAAGAUGGCAAGGUUGUCUUCUGGACCAAGAGGGAAAGGGUGACUCAGACCACUGUAUGCGUACAGUAGCAAUGAGGGGAUGUCCCAGAAGUGCUGCUGUGCAGCAGCCCUGCUCAACACAACCAACACAGGCCUGUGUAAGAAAUUAAGGACCUGCCUCCAACAGGCAGUUUUGGAUGAGUAGGUGCUGAGGAAUGUAACCCUCAGGAAAGUUCACUGCUCUGUUCACAGGCUGCUAGAGGCUGUAGUUUUCCGUGUGACAAGAGAUCAGGCACAGUCUCCAUGAGCAGAGCACAGGAGCUGAGACCAAAAUAAAGACCAAACCCCUGACUGCUUGAGGCAAGUCAAUGGUGGGUCAACAGGCUGGAGCCAUUGCCUUCUCUAUUGCAGGAAAGGAGGUGCUGCUACCAGCCAGGAACAGUGACAACCUUCUGGAGCACAGAGUCAUCAUCCUCGGGCCAAGGCCUUGAUGCCCUGCCAUGAGCUUCUGAGAAGAGGAGCUGGACUGCAGAGAUAGCACAGCUGUUGCAUUGUGACAGCCUUUGGCCCAGGGCUUGUGGUGGCUUUGGGUUCAUUAUUGGGGUGGCAGGGUAAG
rnacentral:lncRNA from 1 species